GCUCUAUCAUCAUGGGCCAACCGGAGGCCCGUUGAGAGUGAGGCCCAAUUGUCGGUGGACCAACUCACUGGUGCACGCGGCUGCACUCGACGUGUGGCCGGCCGUCUCCGUCUGCCAAUUUUUUUCGUGGACAUGGAAAUCUUGCAAGAUUUCACCCCGGUGGUUUUGUGAGGGAGAGAGCGAGGGAGGCGAGAGAGAGGAGAGAGUGGGAGAGAGGGCGUCGAGUUGAGAUCGGCGAUGGAGACGGCUAUCUGCAGCAGAAUUGCUCUCUCGCCCAACCAUGUUGUGAACCCUAAGCCAGGGGAUAAGCUGUCUCAACACAGAGGACCUUGUGCAAAUCGUGGCAUUCUUAUGGCAGUAUCAGUAAGUGGACCUGGAAAAGGAGGUGGUGGUUUGCUGGAAAGGCCAACCAUAGAAAAAGACAACACCUGGCCGUGAAUCUGAGUUUGAUUUGAAGUGACGAUGAUUUCGACUUGUAUUCAUGGGUGAAGUGCCGGAAGAUCGUCGUCAUGUUGAGCCAAUGCUCCGGGAUCAACCAUUUUUGUGGCGCUCUCAGAUGCAUCUCUUGUCUCCCCGCAUGUAUCUGACCAUGACCGGCGCAUUCAUCUCCCACGGACCGUCGUUGUCGGAUAUGAUGUUGGACGACAGGAACGCCAUGAAUCAGUUAAUACUGGAGCAGCACCAUCUUCCUAACACUUCAUCGACGCACCAAGCUCAUCAUCCCAUGGUAGAAGUGGGGAAGCAUGAUCAUCUCCUCUUACGUAACCUUCUUCAUCCGCUUAUAUGCCUUCUUGGCGUGCAAAGAACAUUGGUAGCUUGCACGGAAAAACCAUAGCAGUAGAUUCAUUUGAAUAUAUUUUUAGGGAUAUGAAUUGUUUAGCACAUAUAUUAGCAAAUCAUAGCAAAUAUGCAUA